GUCUACGGCCAUGCCACUCUGAACGUGCCCGAUCCCGUCUGAUCUCGGAAGCUAAGCGGGGUCGGGCCUGGUUAGUACUUGCAUGGGAGACCACUUAGGAAGACCAGGUGCUGUAAGCG
rnacentral:rRNA from 1 species